GAUGAACGCUGACAGAAUGCUUAACACAUGCAAGUCUACUUGAAUUUGGGUUUUUUAACUUCGAUUUGGGUGGCGGACGGGUGAGUAACGCGUAAAGAACUUGCCUCACAGCUAGGGACAACAUUUGGAAACGAAUGCUAAUACCUGAUAUUAUGAUUUUAGGGCAUCCUAGAAUUAUGAAAGCUAUAUGCGCUGUGAGAGAGCUUUGCGUCCCAUUAGCUAGUUGGAGAGGUAACGGCUCACCAAGGCGAUGAUGGGUAGCCGGCCUGAGAGGGUGAUCGGCCACAAGGGGACUGAGACACGGCCCUUACUCCUACGGGAGGCAGCAGUGGGGAAUAUUGGACAAUGGACCAAGAGUCUGAUCCAGCAAUUCUGUGUGCACGAUGAAGUUUUUCGGAAUGUAAAGUGCUUUCAGUUGGGAAGAAAAAAAUGACGGUACCAACAGAAGAAGUGACGGCUAAAUACGUGCCAGCAGCCGCGGUAAUACGUAUGUCACAAGCGUUAUCCGGAUUUAUUGGGCGUAAAGCGCGUCUAGGUGGUUAUGUAAGUCAGUGGUGAAAAGCUGUGGCUCAACUCUGUAUUGCCGUUGAAACUGUGGAGCUUGAGUGCGGAUGAGGUAGGCGGAACGCGUAGUGUAGCGGUGAAAUGCAUAGAUAUUACGCAGAACUCCGAUUGCGAAGGCAGCUUACCAAACCGCAACUGACACUGAAGCACGAAAGCGUGGGUAUCAAACAGGAUUAGAUACCCUGGUAGUCCACGCAGUAAACGAUGAUUACUCGGAGUAUGCGAUAUAUGGUAUGCUCCCAAGGGAAACCGAUAAGUAAUCCACCUGGGGAGUACGCCGGCAACGGUGAAACUCAAAGGAAUUGACGGGGGCCCGCACAAGCGGAGGAACAUGUGGUUUAAUUCGAUGAUACGCGAGGAACCUUACCCGGGAUUGAAAUGUACAUGACGGUUGGGCGAGAGCCUGGCUUCCCUUCGGGGCAUGUAUGUAGGUGCUGCAUGGUUGUCGUUAGCUCGUGCCGUGAGGUGUCGGCUUAAGUGCCAUAACGAGCGCAACCCACAUCGUCAGUUACUAACAGGUAGUGCUGAGGACUCUGACGAGACUGCCGUCGUAAGGCGCGAGGAAGGUGUGGAUGACGUCAAAUCAGCACGGCCCUUACAUCCGGGGCGACGCACGUGUUACAAUGGUAGGGACAAAGGGCAGCUACCUGGCGACAGGAUGCGAAUCUCCAAACCCUAUCUCAGUUCGGAUCGGAGUCUGCAACUCGACUCCGUGAAGCUGGAUUCGCUAGUAAUCGCGCAUCAGCCAUGGCGCGGUGAAUACGUUCCCGGGCCU
rnacentral:rRNA from 1 species